rnacentral:rRNA from 1 species
UACGGAGGAUGCAAGCGUUAUCCGGAAUGAUUGGGCGUAAAGCGUCCGCAGGUGGCUGUGUAAGUCUGCUGUCAAAGAGCAAAGCUCAACUUUGUAAAGGCAGUGGAAACUACACGGCUAGAGUGCGUUCGGGGCAGAGGGAAUUCCUGAUGUAGCGGUGAAAUGCGUAGAGAUCAGGAAGAACACCGGUGGCGAAGGCGCUCUGCUAGGCCGCAACUGACACUGAGGGACGAAAGCUAGGGGAGCGAAUGGG